AUCUCAGGUAGCGCAAUGGGUCAGUGUGCCUGGCUGUUAAGCAGAAGGUUGGUGGUUCAAGCCCACUGAGGGAUG